AGAAGGUGUGCCUCAAUGGUAGAGCGAUUGUUUGGCAUACAGAAGUUCCCAGGUUCAAUCCCUGAAGUUUCCA
rnacentral:tRNA from 1 species